rnacentral:rRNA from 1 species
ACGUAGGGGGCAAGCGUUAUCCGGAAUCACUGGGCGUAAAGGGUGCGUAGGCGGUCGACAAAGUCUGGGGUGAAAGGCUACGGCUCAACCGUAGUAAGCCUUGGAAACUUGUUGACUUGAGUGCAGGAGAGGUAAGUGGAAUUCCUAGUGUAGCGGUGAAAUGCGUAGAUAUUAGGAGGAACACCAGUGGCGAAGGCGACUUACUGGACUGUAACUGACGCUGAGGCACGAAAGCGUGGGGAGCAAACAG